rnacentral:rRNA from 1 species
CCACGCUAAAUCUUACCACUUCUUGCAUAAUUUAGAUUACCUUUUCAAGAUUUCAUUUAUUUAAUAAUAAUUGAAAUUAUUGAAAACUAAAUUACAGGUGUUGCAUGGCUGUCUUUAGUUCGUGUUGUGAAAUGUUAGGUUUAUUCCGAUAACGAACGUAACCCUUAUCUUUAAUUUUAUAUAUAAUAUAACUUAAAGAAAUAUUCUUCGAUAAGAAGGAGUAAUUAGGAUGAAGACAAGUCCUCAUGACCCUUAUGAAGUGGGCUACAGACGUGCCACAAAAAUUUCUACAAAAGGAUGCAAAGAUGAAAGUCAGAGCUAAACCUCAAAAGAAAUUAAAGUACGGAUAAGAAUCUGAAACUCGAUUCUUUGAA